rnacentral:rRNA from 1 species
CGGAGAGGGCGCAUGAGAAAUUGCGCUUACAGCUAAGGUUGGCAGCAGGAGCGAAAACUUUUCGAAUGAGCAACGCUUGAAAAGGUGACGAACUGUAUCAACAUCAGCUUUGGUUGAUGAUUGAAAUGAAACGAAUAUAGAUGAUUCGUUGAGUAGCUAGUUCAGGGCAAGUCUGGUGCCAGCAGCCGCGGUAAUACCAGCUGAGCUAGAGAUGGGUAAUUCUGUUGCAGUAAAAACAUUCGUAGUCACUAUCUAAUUUUAUUCUAUCUGAUAAGAUAGAAGAUAAAUUUAAACAUUAUUGUCCGCGAUUAAAUUAGAACGAUUAAUUUGCAUGGUGAAUACUAAAACGUGGUAAAUCUGAUGAAACCUUAUUCUAAAACGCAAUUUUGGAAAAAGGAAUAAACAGUAAAAAUAAGUGAGGGCAGUGGUACUUACCAGCUAGAGGUGAAAUUCUUAGAUUUGGUAAUGACCAACGACUGCGAAGGCAUCUGCCCAACUUAUAUUUGGUGAUCAAGAAUUAAAGCGUGGGGAUCGAAGAGGAUUAGAUACCCUCGUAGUCCACGCCCUAAGCUAUGUCGGCCAGGAAUUGGUUAACGUUAAAUACUUUAUCAGAACCUUAGCAGAUAUGAUAAGCUUUUGGACUCUGGGGGAAGUAUGGUCGCAAGGCUGGAACUUAAAGGAAUUGACGGAACGGCACCACCAGGGGUGGAGCGUGCGGCUUAAUUUGACUCAACGCGGGGAACCUUACUAGGGUAAGACAUGAAAAUGAUUGACAGCGUGCUUGCGCUUUCUUGAUUUUAUGGGUGGUGGUGCAUGGCCGAUCUUAGUUGGUGGGGUGACUUGUCUGGUUUAUUUCGAUAACGAACGAGAUCCGUGCUGACUAGUUGCAAUUGUUUAUAUCUGUAGGCAAUUGUCUUUAGUUGGACCAUCAGAGCAAUCUGAAGGAAGUGACGGGCUAAAUCAGGUCUGUGAUGCCCUUUGAUACUCUGGGCGGCACGCGCGCUACAAUGGAUAACUAAACGUGUUACAUAUCUGAAAAGUUAUGUGAAUCACAAAUGUUAGGUCUUGAGUGGGAUAGUUUACUGCAAUUAUAGACUUGAACGAGGAAUCCCUUGUAAAUUCACUGAAGCAUAGUGAAUUGAAUACGUCCCUGCCGUUUGUACACACCGCCCGUCGUUUCUUUCGACUGAUACUCAUUGUGAAUUGCGGGGAGAUUUCGAUUAAACCGUUGUGAAUGCUGGGUAUUGGAGAAAGAAAAAGUCGUAACAAGGUAACC